rnacentral:rRNA from 1 species
UACGGGGGGGGCAAGCGUUGUUCGGAAUUACUGGGCGUAAAGGGCUCGUAGGCGGCCAACUAAGUCGGAUGUGAAAUCCCCAGGCUUAACCUGGGAACUGCAUCCGAUACUGGACGGCUUGAAUCCGGGAGAGGGAUGCGGAAUUCCAGGUGUAGCGGUGAAAUGCGUAGAUAUCUGGAGGAACACCGGUGGCGAAGGCGGCAUCCUGGACCGGCAUUGACGCUGAGGAGCGAAAGCCAGGGGAGCAAACGGG